rnacentral:lncRNA from 1 species
UCCCACACAACUCCUCAACUCCUCAAUAUUCUGAAUUAUCCCCCCCUUCCUCUCCAUAUAUUUUCUUCUAUCUCUCCUCUCUCUCCAUAAAAAGUGAAAAAAAAAACCUAAAAAUUAUUUCAUUAUUUUAUUUCACAUAGUGACUGCUGUCGGUUCAACGCAGGUCCUUAGCACCCUCUCCGAUCUCCUUUUAUGCGGCUUUGUCAAGGAAGCAAGCCAACGUAUUCGUCAGCCAAGCUUCGAGUAGUUUUUUAACCACUGGAGCCUCUUCUAUUGUGCACGUAGAAUCUCCUUCACCGUGGGACGUUACAAUACUACCAUGAGGAACGGAUGAGCCAUUUCGUCUGGGAGAGGCAUUUGGUAUUAUAUCCUCACCUUUCAGUGACUUCGUUGAUGGCGUUAAGGAGGUUGGCGGAGAGGUCGGCUACUAGCUUCCUCCUUUCUUCUCAGUUACCUGCCAUGUUAAAUUUGUGUGCACAAAAAAGUAUAGGGU